rnacentral:rRNA from 1 species
CAGUAGCCACGGGAACACGAAGGGUGCAAGCGUUAAUCGGAAUUACUGGGCGUAAAGCGUGCGUAGGCGGUUUGUUAAGUCUGUUGUGAAAUCCCCGGGCUCAACCUGGGAAUGGCAAUGGAUACUGGCAAGCUAGAGUGUGUCAGAGGAUGGUGGAAUUCCCGGUGUAGCGGUGAAAUGCGUAGAGGUCGGGAGGAACAUCAGUGGCGAAGGCGGCCAUCUGGGACAACACUGACGCUGAGGCACGAAAGCGUGGGGAGCAAACAGGAUUAGAUACCCCGGUAGUCCCUGUCUCUUAUAC